CGAGUUCUCGUUGAUGAUCGGUGCUUGCACCGAGAUUCAACAUGGAACGAGUGGCGGACGGGUGAGUAACACGUGGGUAACCUGCCCUUAAGUGGGGGAUAACAUUUGGAAACAGAUGCUAAUACCGCAUAGAUCCAAGAACCGCAUGGUUCUUGGCUGAAAGAUGGCGUAAGCUAUCGCUUUUGGAUGGACCCGCGGCGUAUUAGCUAGUUGGUGAGGUAAUGGCUCACCAAGGCGAUGAUACGUAGCCGAACUGAGAGGUUGAUCGGCCACAUUGGGACUGAGACACGGCCCAAACUCCUACGGGAGGCAGCAGUAGGGAAUCUUCCACAAUGGACGCAAGUCUGAUGGAGCAACGCCGCGUGAGUGAAGAAGGCUUUCGGGUCGUAAAACUCUGUUGUUGGAGAAGAAUGGUCGGCAGAGUAACUGUUGUCGGCGUGACGGUAUCCAACCAGAAAGCCACGGCUAACUACGUGCCAGCAGCCGCGGUAAUACGUAGGUGGCAAGCGUUAUCCGGAUUUAUUGGGCGUAAAGCGAGCGCAGGCGGUUUUUUAAGUCUGAUGUGAAAG
rnacentral:rRNA from 1 species